rnacentral:rRNA from 1 species
AAGUCGAGCGGUAACAUUUCUAGCUUGCUAGAAGAUGACGAGCGGCGGACGGGUGAGUAAUACUUAGGAAUCUACCUAGUAGUGGGGGAUAGCUCGGGGAAACUCGAAUUAAUACCGCAUACGACCUACGGGAGAAAGGGGGCAACUUGUUGCUCUCGCUAUUAGAUGAGCCUAAGUCGGAUUAGCUAGAUGGUGGGGUAAAGGCCUACCAUGGCGACGAUCUGUAGCUGGUCUGAGAGGAUGAUCAGCCACACCGGAACUGAGACACGGUCCGGACUCCUACGGGAGGCAGCAGUGGGGAAUAUUGGACAAUGGGGGCAACCCUGAUCCAGCCAUGCCGCGUGUGUGAAGAAGGCCUUUUGGUUGUAAAGCACUUUAAGCAGUGAAGAAGACUCAAUGGUUAAUACCCAUUGACGAUGACAUUAGCUGCAGAAUAAGCACCGGCUAACUCUGUGCCAGCAGCCGCGGUAAUACAGAGGGUGCAAGCGUUAAUCGGAAUUACUGGGCGUAAAGCGAGCGUAGGUGGCUUGAUAAGUCAGAUGUGAAAUCCCCGGGCUUAACCUGGGAACUGCAUCUGAUACUGUUAAGCUAGAGUAGGUGAGAGGAAGGUAGAAUUCCAGGUGUAGCGGUGAAAUGCGUAGAGAUCUGGAGGAAUACCGAUGGCGAAGGCAGCCUUCUGGCAUCAUACUGACACUGAGGUUCGAAAGCGUGGGUAGCAAA